CACGUAGGGUGCGAGCGUUGUCCGGAAUUAUUGGGCGUAAAGAGCUCGUAGGCGGUGUGUCGCGUCGGCCGUGAAAACCUGCAGCUUAACUGUGGGCGUGCGGUCGAUACGGGCAUCACUGGAGUUCGGCAGGGGAGACUGGAAUUCCUGGUGUAGCGGUGAAAUGCGCAGAUAUCAGGAGGAACACCGGUGGCGAAGGCGGGUCUCUGGGCCGAUAUUGACGCU
rnacentral:rRNA from 1 species